UAGUGGGACAAAGACAGUGUUACUGAGUGUGGGAGAGGAAUGGCGCCGGCGGCUGAAGGAACAAGAACAGAAACCGCUGGAAAAGCUGAGCAGCCCUGGCUGCAUGUGUCAAGAGACUCCGAGGAAACGUUACGUGUCCAGUGAUUCUCUUUCAGAACAGAAACAGGUUUCGGAAACAUCCCGGAGAGGUCGCCAGGCCUGAGCGCCCGGGGAGAGGGGACAGUAAUAAGGUGAAAGGGAAUAAUGGACAAAGCACUGAAAACAACGCUGACUCUAAUUCAGCAAAGUAUUUGAAGAUCUGAAGACUGAAGUUUAAAAAUCAACAGAUGAAGGGCCUAUGCCU